rnacentral:rRNA from 1 species
AACGACUGCUAAGACUGGAUAGGAGAUAAGAAGGCAUCUUUUUAUUUUUAAAAGACCUAGCAAUAGGUAUGCUUAGGGAAGAGCUUGCGUCACAUUAGUUAGUUGGUGGGGUAAUGGCCUACCAAGACGAUGAUGUGUAGCCGGGCUGAGAGGUCGAACGGCCACAUUGGGACUGAGACACGGCCCAAACUCCUACGGGAGGCAGCAGUAAGGAAUUUUCGGCAAUGGAGGAAACUCUGACCGAGCAAUGCCGCGUGAACGAUGAAGUAUUUCGGUACGUAAAGUUCUUUUAUUAGGGAAGAAAAGAUGGUGGAAAAACCAUUAUGACGGUACCUAAUGAAUAAGCCCCGGCUAACUAUGUGCCAGCAGCCGCGGUAAUACAUAGGGGGCAAGCGUUAUCCGGAAUUAUUGGGCGUAAAGGGUGCGUAGGCGGUUAAAUAAGUUUAUGGUCUAAGUGCAACGCUCAACGUUGUGAUGCUAUAAAAACUGUUUAGCUAGAGUUGGAUAGAGGCAAGUGGAAUUCCGUGUGUAGUGGUAAAAUGCGUAAAUAUACGGAGGAACACCAGAAGCGAAGGCGGCUUGCUGGGUCUUAACUGACGCUGAGGCACGAAAGCGUGGGGAGCAAACAGGAUUAGAUACCCUGGUAGUCCACGCCCUAAACGAUGAGUACUAAACGUUGGAUAAAACCAGUGUUGAAGUUAACACAUUAAGUACUCCGCCUGAGUAGUACGUACGCAAGUAUGAAACUUAAAGGAAUUGACGGGACUCCGCACAAGCGGUGGAUCAUGUUGUUUAAUUCGAAGGUACCCGAAAAACCUCACCAGGUCUUGACAUGCUUUUGCAAAGCUGUAGAAAUACAGUGGAGGUUAUCAGAAGCACAGGUGGUGCAUGGUUGUCGUCAGCUCGUGUCGUGAGAUGUUGGGUUAAGUCCCGCAACGAGCGCAACCCUUGUUGUUAAUUGCCAUCAUUAAGUUGGGGACUUUAGCAAGACUGCCAAUGAUAAAUUGGAGGAAGGUGGGGACGACGUCAAAUCAUCAUGCCCCUUAUGACCUGGGCUACAAACGUGAUACAAUGGCUGUUACAAAGGGUAGCUAAAGCGUAAGCUUCUGGCGAAUCUCAAAAAUGCAGUCUCAGUUCGGAUUGAAGUCUGCAACUCGACU